rnacentral:rRNA from 1 species
GCUUGGCCCUAAACCUCAGUAGUUAGAUAACAAAACUACUCGCCAGAAUACUACAAGCAACAGCUUAAAACUCAAAGGACUUGACGGUGCUUUACAUCCCCCUAGAGGAGCCUGUUCCGUAAUCGAUAAACCCCGAUCCACCCCACCCUCUCUUGCUCAGCCUAUAUACCGCCAUCUUCAGCAAACCCUAAUGAAGGCCACAAAGUGAGCGCAAACGCCACUGCCGCGAAUACGUUAGGUCAAGGUGUAGCCCAUGAGACGGUAAAAAAUGGGCUACAUUUUCUAUUUCAGAAAACCCCACGAAAACCCUUAUGAAACUUAAGGGUCCAAGGAGGAUUUAGCAGUAAAUUAAGAAUAGAGUGCUUAAUUGAACCAGGCCAUAAAGCGCG